CAAUAGCGUAUAUUAAAGUUGUUGCGGUAAAAAAGCUCGUAGUUGGAUUUCUACCGAAGAUAGCCGGUCGGGUCAUCGACCUUGUAUCUGGUUUUGUCUUUGGUAUCCUCAUAGGGAACGUUUCUGCGCUUUAUUGCGUGGUGCGGUAUCUAUGACUUUUACUUUGAGGAAAUUAGAGUGUUCACGGCAGGCAAACGCCUUGAAUAUAUUAGCAUGGAAUAAUAACAUAGGAUCUUCGUCCUAUUUUGUUGGUUUCUAGGGCUAAGAUAAUGAUUAAUAGGGAUAAUUGGGGGCAUCUGUAUCAACGCGUCAGAGGUGGAAUUCUUGGAUUGCGUUGCGACAAACUACUGCGAAAGCAUUUGCCAAGGAUGUUUUCAUUGA
rnacentral:rRNA from 1 species